UACGUAGGGACCAAGCGUUGUUCGGAUUUACUGGGCGUAAAGGGCGCGUAGGCGGCCUGCUAAGUCGGAUGUGAAAUCCCUCGGCUCAACCGAGGAACUGCAUCCGAUACUGGCGGGCUUGAAUCCGGGAGAGGGAUGUGGAAUUCCAGGUGUAGCGGUGAAAUGCGUAGAUAUCUGGAGGAACACCGGUGGCGAAGGCGGCAUCCUGGACCGGUAUUGACGCUGAGGCGCGAAAGCUAGGGGAGCAAACGGG
rnacentral:rRNA from 1 species